rnacentral:tRNA from 1 species
GGAGGGGUGCCGGAGUGGACGAACGGACCGGUCUUGAAAACCGGAGUCGGGGCAACUCGACCGUGGGUUCGAAUCCCACCCCCUCCGCCA